CAUUUUGGUUGGAUUCUUUGCGGUCUUCGGAUCAUUUCUGAUUAUUUUCCCCUUUUAUUCUGGAAAAUAAUUCAAAAAAUAUGCUUCCGGAGGUGACUCCCGGAGAAUACGAUGCUUCACUAGAAAUAAGCUGAAACUGAUCUGGAUUGGCUUAGAGAAAGCCUGAGAAUUGAUCAAUGAAAGCCCACCUGGAAAAUUCACCUGAUUCCACACGAAGGUGCUCUGAUGUCCAGGACGUUCUGAAAGACGCUCCACAAAACAUAAUCUGCAUGAAAAACUUGAUUGUUAUAGGAUUAUGUUGAAAUAAAAUGAAAGAAUAAAGAAUUUUAAUUAAAAAA